rnacentral:piRNA from 1 species
UAGGAAUUCCAGGGUGGAAGAGUAUUCUGC